CUUUUUAUUCAUUUUCUUUGUUUUUCAUUCUCAGAUUCUGAAUGCUUUGCUAUAUGGUAUAACAUUCAAUGAGUUUUAUUAUCUCUUAAUUGAUGAACAUUGUUUCAAAUUCGCAAGCACUCCAAGUGUUUGAUGAAUUGUUUAUUCUCUUAAUCGUUGUAUUAAUUCUUGUUCAGUGAAAUGAUACUGUGUCUUAGUUGCUCCCUGUAAAUUAAUUCUAAUCAUAGCAUAGAUUAGACUCUCCUGAUAAUAGCAUUUUCCCUAUUUUGUGUCAUAUUGCAAGUGGCAGCAACUAUACUAUAUAUUUGGCCACUAUAUAUUUACAAGCAAUGAAUUUAGUAUUUCAUUGUAAUGAAUUUUUUGUUCGAUCUAUUCAAGUUCAAUUCCCUAAGUAUAUUGUGAUCUUUUCAGGUUCUUGUAGUGUUAUAGUACAUACAGGAAGUUUUCUUUGUUAUUCUUGUUUAUAGUUUUGAUUUAGUAGAUUGAAUAUUACAUCCUAAGAACUUUUCUUUAUAACAUUGUUGGACAGGUAGCUGAUGUUACUAGAAAGCAUAGGUGGAUCAAUGCUAACAAUAAAGUCACAUAUUUUGGUUCAUUUUUUGAGAAUGUCAAGGUGUAUUUUAGAAGAGGUAGAGCUAGAGAGAUGCUUGGCUAUUAUACCGAUGCAAUUGAUGAUUUUCAACAUGCCUUGGUACUUGAACCAACCAACAAAAUGGCAUCCUCUGCUGUCGAAAGAUUAAGGAAACUAUUCCAGUAGAUAUAUCAUUCUGUCCACUAUAUGUGAUGGCUUCGGUAAGUCGUCGUUGGCUGCCAAAUGCUUCCAGAAACAUGAAGGAGCUUAUGGAAUAAAUUUUUCAGCACUGAACAACUUGUCUAUUGAACAAUGUGACAACUUGGAACCAUUCAGAGAAGAAAUCAUAGAUGAACAAACAAAGCCUGCCCUCUUUCCUGAAACGGUGAAGACAGUGGCUCGGAUUCUGGAAAGUGAUGCAGGGAAAGUAAUUUGCAGGGAAGCAGAGAGGAUCAAACCUGCGGCUAUAGUUUUGGGAUCAAGAGGCAGAAGCUUAAUUCAAAGUGUGCUACAGGGAAGUGUUGGAGAGUACUGCUUCCACCACUGCAAAGCAGCACCUGUUGUCAUCGUUCCUGGAAAAGAUGCUGGAGAUGCAUCAAUAUUGUAGUGAAGCUUUGUACGUAUGUCAAUUGGCCUUGUUAAUAUAUCUAACAGUCAUGUUUAGUGAAAUGAAGAUUGGUUCUGACUCAUUUUCACCAAGAAUAGAGAUGUUUUUCUUGCAUAUGUUCACAUGUUAACCACUAGCAUGUUAUUAAUUCAAUGGCUUAGUAACUCAUUUUCUCAUUGUGCUGUUUAGACUUUUUUUGAUGUUACAAAGCAUUUGGACAGCUUUAUUUUUGGAAUAGGUUUAUUUGAGUUGUUGUUAGAUUC